UUGGCGAACGGGUGAGUAACGCGUGAGUAACCUGCCCUGGAGUGGGGGACAACAGUUGGAAACGACUGCUAAUACCGCAUAAGCCCACGAUCCGGCAUCGGAUUGAGGGAAAAGGAUUUAUUCGCUUCAGGAUGGACUCGCGUCCAAUUAGCUAGUUGGUGAGGUAACGGCCCACCAAGGCGACGAUUGGUAGCCGGACUGAGAGGUUGAACGGCCACAUUGGGACUGAGACACGGCCCAG
rnacentral:rRNA from 1 species